CUGGUCACAGCAGUAACAACGCUGAAAAGGACACAUUCAUUUUGUUGACACUGCUUCUGUUCACAGCUCUUCGGGAACCCUCCUUUGGAUCACCGCCCUAGCCUGUCACCACCUCAGUAUCAGAGGCGAGCCGUAUGCUACCGUUGGCUUCGGAUUUGGAACGAGGUCACUUGGAAAAAAGCGGUCCCCAUCCUUCCCUACAAAUCCUCCCAACUUCAAAUCUGGAGGAAAAAUGCUCACUAUGGAGGCCAGCAGGAUCACUACAAUUACGGGCCCACCACAGAGCAGCCCUCGAGAGUGUUGAUGGUGUAAAAUUGCAAACAUUUGUAACACGUCACUAAUAGAAGAAAUACGCAGGUAAGCUCUGAAGAGCUAGAGAAAAGUGCCCAGGAAGGGGUACAUCUGUUCUUGGAGAAGCAGCAGAGAUGGGCGUUUCUGUGAGAGAGACAAGUAUCCAGUGAGACUUAGAAUGUGAGGGGAGGUACAGACAACCCAGCUGGCCGUAUGACGUGGAAUUUUUUAUGUGACAGCUCCAUGAGAUGUUAUUGUUCCUGGCAGAAAAGAAAGCAUCUGAAGAGUCCUAAGACAUCAAAGCUCCAGUAUUUACUUGAAAAAGUUGUCCCAGCGGA
rnacentral:lncRNA from 1 species